rnacentral:rRNA from 1 species
AAUAAAAAUAUCUUUGGUUGGGGCAACCACGAAGAAAAAAAAACCUUCGUCUAAAAAAGAAAUUAACAAAUUAAAAAUUUUAAAAAAAAAGAUCCAGAAAAUACUGAUCAAAGAAAAAAGUUACCGCAGGGAUAACAGCGUUAUUCUCUUUAAGAGCUCGUAUUGACAAGAGAGUUUGCGACCUCGAUGUUGGACCGGGGCACCCAAGAGGUGUAGCAGCCUCUAAAGGUGGGUCUGUUCGACCCUUAAAGCCCUACGCGAUCUGAGUUCAGACCGACGCAAGUCAGGUCAGUUUCUAUCUA